rfam:Triticum aestivum genome assembly, contig: Triticum_aestivum_CS42_TGACv1_scaffold_424316_5BS
CAUAUACCCCCUCCGUUCCACAAUACAUGCCUUCUAUUUGUCAAAAUAUAGAUGUAUCUAGACAUGUUUUAGUAUAUAGGUACAUCCAUUUUUGGACAAAUGGAAGUCAAGUAUUUUGGAACGGAGGGGUAGUUG